UUUCUGCUGCCAAGUAUGUCAUGUAAAAGAUGUCCCUUAAAGAUGGUUAGACGCACAGUCGAUUGUGAAGCAGAAUGCUAUUCAUGUCCACCCUGGAUCUCUGUCAGAGUUGCCAUCUGUUGCAAAAAGAAGCUUCUUUGACAAAGGUGAAAGCAUCAUUUACCUAUGGUACCAGAAGAGAAAAUAGUGCUCACUGAUUUGCCAAUAAACAAUAUUAAAGGAGAAAGCAAACAGAAUGAUCUAUCUAAACAGCUGAGCUCAUCAUUCAAUAGAAUCCAUAAGAACGACAGGUCAUGUCCUCUGACCGCUAUUUUUAAAGACCUGAAAAUAACAGUACUAUAAGAUCAGCCUUAUUCAGAUUCCAAGACUGAUGAAUCAGUGUGGCCAGAGACAAACAAAGCCUUGGAACAAUUUCUCAGGAGUUUGAUUCACGUGGGGAUUUGGUAGCAAUGCAACUUUUUUAUUUACAAAAUUGUUUUUAUAGACUCAAUAAAGAUUAAAAUAUAAAAGCC